UACGGAAGGUCCGGGCGUUAUCCUGAUUUAUUGGGUUUAAAGGGAGCGUAGGCCGUCUGGUAAGCGUGUUGUGAAAUGUCGGGGCUCAACCUGGGCAUUGCAGCGCGAACUGUCAGACUUGAGUGCGCGGGAAGUAGGCGGAAUUCGUCGUGUAGCGGUGAAAUGCUUAGAUAUGACGAAGAACUCCGAUUGCGAAGGCAGCCUGCUGUAGCGCAACUGACGCUGAAGCUCGAAAGCGUGGGUAUCGAACAGG
rnacentral:rRNA from 1 species